AUUGAACGCUGGCGGCAUGCCUUACACAUGCAAGUCGAACGGUAACAGGUCUUCGGAUGCUGACGAGUGGCGAACGGGUGAGUAAUACAUCGGAACGUGCCCGAUCGUGGGGGAUAACGAAGCGAAAGCUUUGCUAAUACCGCAUAAGAUCUACGGAUGAAAGCAGGGGACCGCAAGGCCUUGCGCGAACGGAGCGGCCGAUGGCAGAUUAGGUAGUUGGUGGGAGAAAAGCUUACCAAGCCGACGAUCUGUAGCUGGUCUGAGAGGACGACCAGCCACACUGGGACUGAGACACGGCCCAGACUCCUACGGGAGGCAGCAGUGGGGAAUUUUGGACAAUGGGCGAAAGCCUGAUCCAGCCAUGCCGCGUGCAGGAUGAAGGCCUUCGGGUUGUAAACUGCUUUUGUACGGAACGAAAAGACUCUGGUUAAUACCUGGGGUCCAUGACGGUACCGUAAGAAUAAGCACCGGCUAACUACGUGCCAGCCGCCGCGGUAAGAC
rnacentral:rRNA from 1 species